GGCGGAUUUAGGGAGUACGGACCCAUCAUGAACAGAGUGUCUUCGGAGCUGAACAAAAGCAUUUUUGAUGCCUCUGAUGCGCUUAGUUCUAUCCCCGGGACUCGAGCUAGUGAGAACAAGUUGAGGGGAACGAUGAAGAAGUUCGUCAAAAAAUGUCGCAAGCUUGUGGGCCUGCUUGGGUGUGCCACCUCCUCCACUGAUGUGAUUGCUCCUGCAGCACCGAUGCAUAGCCUCGCUUCAUAGAGCCAGGCCGCCUCAUCGUCUAUGGCAGUUCAAGAUGACGAGGAGGAUGGCGAG